GACGAACGCUGGCGGCGUGCUUAACACAUGCAAGUCGAACGGAAAGGCCCUGCUUGCAGGGUACUCGAGUGGAGAACGGGUGAGUAACACGUGGGUGAUCUGCCCUGCACUUCGGGAUAAGCCUGGGAAACUGGGUCUAAUACCGGAUAGGAGCCAUUUUUAGUGUGAUGGUUGGAAAGUUUUUUCGGUGUAGGAUGAGCUCGCGGCCUAUCAGCUUGUUGGUGGGGUAAUGGCCUACCAAGGCGGCGACGGGUAGCCGGCCUGAGAGGGUGGACGGCCACAUUGGGACUGAGAUACGGCCCAGACUCCUACGGGAGGCAGCAGUGGGGAAUAUUGCACAAUGGGCGCAAGCCUGAUGCAGCGACGCCGCGUGGGGGAUGACGGCCUUCGGGUUGUAAACUCCUUUCGCUAGGGACGAAGCUUUUUGUGACGGUACCUAGAGAAGAAGCACCGGCUAACUACGUG
rnacentral:rRNA from 1 species